GAUGAACGCUGGCGGCGUGCUUCACACAUGCAAGUCGAACGGUGACCUCGAGAGCUUGCUCUUGAGUGAUCAGUGGCGAACGGGUGAGUAACACGUGAGUAACCUGCCCCAGACUCUGGAAUAACCCCGGGAAACCGGAGCUAAUACCGGCUACGAAGUGGAGCCGCAUGGCUACUACCUGGAAAGAUUUUCGGUCUGGGAUGGACUCGCGGCCUAUCAGCUAGUUGGUGAGGUAACGGCUCACCAAGGCGCCGACGGGUAGCCGGCCUGCGAGGGGGACCGGCCACACUGGGACUGAGACACGGCCCAGACUCCUACGGGAGGCAGCAGUGGGGAAUAUUGCACAAUGGGCGAAAGCCUGAGGCAGCGACGCCGCGUGAGGGAUGACGGCCUUCGGGUUGUAAACCUCUUUCAGCAGGGAAGAAGCGAAAGGGACGGUACCUGCAGAAGAAGCGCCGGCUAACUACGUGCCAGCAGCCGCCGUAAGAC
rnacentral:rRNA from 1 species